rnacentral:lncRNA from 1 species
GCUCUUAUCUACGCAGCAGUAACGGAAACACAUGAGAAUACCUCUUUUUUCAACUUGUUCUUUUCUCAGGUAACAAUCGAACAACAAUCUUCAAAAGAACACGUAAAAUGAAGAAAAAAUAAAAAGAAGACAGGCUGAAAGGCAAUAGGCAAACUCCCAUUGUAGAGAGUUGCAGCUAAUAGGCAAAAUAUCCAUACAUUAGGAACUGAUAUAGAGACCUUAAGCUUGGACCUUAUUGUCCCACUUGAGGGGCUUCACCACCUCCCAUGUGAAGUCGGGGUCAUCUCUGCCAAAGUGUCCAUAUGCUGCAGUCUUCAAGAACCUGCUAUUGCCACCUCUCUUGAGGUCAAGAUUGAUGGAAAUCAUACCAGGUCUGAAAUCAAAGCUCUCCUUCACGAUCUGAAGGAUCUCUUUGUCAGGAAUCUUUCCAGUGCCAUAAGUGUCUACAAAUACUGACAGAGGCUCAGGAACACCAAUGGCAUAGGAGACCUGAACGAUGCACCUCCUAGCAAGCCCACUGGCAACAAUACUCUUGGCGGCUUGCCUGACAAUGUAAGCUCCACUCCUAUCCACCUUGGUUGGGUCUUUUCCAGAGAAGGCACCACCACCAUGAGCACCCCAUCCACCAUAAGUGUCAAUAAUGAUCUUACGCCCGGUGAGACCAGCAUCACCAUGAGGACCACCAAUGACGAAACGGCCAGAAGGGUUAAGAUGGAAGAUAGUCUUCUCAUCCAAGUACUUUUCAGGGAUCACGGGCUUGAUGACAUGCUCCUUGAGAUCAGCCGCAAUCUCAUCAUUUGUCACAGUCUCAUCAUGUUGAGUAGAAAUGAGAACAGUGUGGACGCGGACAGGAACCAUGGCUCCAUUUUCAUUGUAGUACUCAACAGUAACUUGGGUUUUUCCAUCAGGCCUCAACCAUGCGCAAGUUCCAUUCUUACGAACCUCAGUGAGGCGAGCACCAAGCUUGGUAGCCAAAACGUGGCUCAAAGGCAUCAAUUCAGGGGUCUCGUCAGUGGCAUAGCCAAACAUAUGGCCUUGAUCACCAGCACCAAUCUCUUCCGGUCUCUUGGAGAAAUGACCAUGUACACCCUGGGCAAUAUCAGGACUUUGUUGCUCAAUGUUAACUAGAACCUUGCAAUUGUCGGCAUCAAGACCCACAUCGGCAGAUGUGAAUCCAAUGUUUCUGCAAGUAUCACGCACAAUCUUCUCGUAAUCUACAUCAGCCUUGGUGGUGAUCUCGCCAAAAACCAUGACCAUGUUGGUCUUAGUGCAAGUCUCGCAUGCCACCUUGCUGUCAGGGUCUUGCGCCAAGCAAGCAUCGAGUACGGCAUCAGAGAUCUGGUCACAGAGCUUAUCUGGGUGUCCCUCAUUCACUGAUUCAGAUGUGAAUAGGAAAGUCUCUGCCAUUUCUUUCAAGCUGCACAUAGCAUACAAAAAUUCCAUCAUUAAAUUCCUCAAAACACAACCAACACCACACACACACACGCAUUAAUAAUUAAUCACUUUAUUUUCAAUUAAUUUGAAGCCUCGGUAGUCCUUAAGCUUCACUAGCCCUCAUAAAAUCCCUCUCCACGGUAUAGACAGGAUUCAAUCCCGACAAGCUAAACCAACCAGCACCCACCACAUAACAUGAAUUAGUUAAAUCUAAGUUCAUUAAGAAAAGCAUUUUCUCAUGACAUUAACUAUUCAGAUCUAAAAAGAAAUCACCAUUAACAACAGAGGACCACAAGAACAAUAACAGAUCUAAAAUUGGAAAUAAUGAUAUGCAUGGACAUGACAAGUGCAACUGAAACUCAAUUUUCAACCUAUAAAUUCCCAAAAGCUAACCAUAGUAACAGCGAAUCAAACCCACGAAAAUAUCCAGAUCCAAUAACCAAAGAACAAACAUGAAAGAAUCCAAAGGCCCGGUGACUCAAAAGACAAAAGCUACCGACCUUGAGAGAUUAGGGAGAAAGAGUAGAGUUGCUGCUCUGCUUGAAAGAAAAUGCUGUUUCCUCUUCUUGUCAAGCUUAGCUAUGCAAUGCGAGUUCACAACGGAAGGCAGAGGUGCUUAUUUAUAGGCAGGUGUGGCGUGGCCCCCGAAAACGUAAUUUGGACUAGAUUCAUUCAUUUAUUUGUCAUUUACACCUAUUUUGGUGGAUCCAAUGGCUGAUUUUUAGUUAUUGUGUUUGAUCUCAGCCCUUGGUAGUCCGGCUUUACGCGUCUGCCCAUCUUUGAUGGGCAGAGAUCGUCGGUGGAGAGAGAUAAAUCACUUAUGGUCCCCCAUUUUUAAACAUUAAUUCAAUAGUAUCCUAUUCUCUGUAAUACACCAAACUAGGACUUUCUAGUUAAUUAAAAAAACACUCAGCAUCAUUUUUGUUAAUUAUUUGGAGGUUUAAAAUAAAAAAAACCCUUAAAUAUGACCUUAAAAUUUUAUAUAAAAAUUUUGGGAAGAAUAGCCAUGGCUUCUGCUAGCUUUUUAUAUUGAUUGAGUCCCUCCAUCCCUAUCUUGCUAGCUAGAUGGUUAUCUAUGAACCUUAUAGGCAAUCAUUUUCGGUUUGGUUUUUAUCAAAAAAAUAAUUAAAAUGAUUUUUUUAAAAAAAAGAAACUGGAAUCUAUUCAAAUCAAUCGGUUUCAGCUCGGUUCAGUUAUUUUAGAAUAAAAACCAGUUCAAACCGGUUUGGCUCGGUUUUUUUCCGGUUUGGCUCAGGUCUUUUUUGGUUUGGGUUCAGUUCGGUUUGGUUUUUUCAAUUUCAGACCUAUAAAACCGAAUAAGUCAGUUUUUAAAAAUUCUAAUAAGUUUUUUUACGGUUCAGCUUUUUUUUAUUAUUUUUUUGAUUUUUUUAAUUUAAUUAGUUUUUUGAUUUUUUUUGUUCACGGAGAGCCUGUGGUUCUACAUGCAAUGGUGAAAAUUAUUGGUGAACUAAAAACAAAAGAUUUCAUUUGAUUAAAUAUAAACAAUAAGGACUCUUUUGGCUAAAUGUUUGCGGUUAGAGGGCAAAAUCUGAAUUUCGCGCAGUUAGAGGGCAAAAUCUGAAUUUCACACUCUAAAAUAGGACGAGUUGCAGCUGUAGAAAAAAGUUACACGUAGGACACACCAACCCCAGGCUGUCGUAAGGGUGGACCACCACUUGGACUUCUUUUUUUUAAUUAAAACCCGUGGCUCGGGGGCUCUUCUAUUUUGACUCCUGAGCCCACCUUCUAGCCAUCUUACCGACCCCUCCCCUAUUUUCGCUGUUUUUCGCGAGUCAGUGAAGUUGAGAUUUUCAGAUUUCCUCGUGUUCUAAUAAAAAAUAGUUAUUAUCAAGCGUGAAUUAUAACUUAAUUUCUAUGAUUUAUUAAAAUAAACUAAUCAAUAGUAUCUUAAUUAAUUUUUAUCAUGUUUAAUUUAAGUAUAUGUUCAUUUUAUCUCCUUUUUCUCUCCUCUUUCUAUUUCUUAACAAAAAAAGUAAAUUGAAAAUAUUAUGGAGUAAAGUAAAAAAAAACAGUUAUAAAUAUAUCUUAAAAACAUGGAAAUUAAAUAUUUAAUUUUUAAAACCAUGAGAAUUGAUUGAUUGUUUUUUAUAAAUUACAUGAACAAAGUUGUAACAAAUUACAUGAACAAAGUUGUAACAAUCUCUUAUUAUUAUUGUAAGGGUGUUUGACAGUGAGUUUUAACAUGUUUUUUUUAUCAAAAUUAAAAAAAAAAUUAUUUUAAAUUAAUUAAUUUUAGUGUUUUUUUAUCAUUUUGAUGUUCUGACGUCAACAAUAAUUUAUUUUUAAAAGAAUAUUAAAAAUAAUAUUUUAUUUUUGUUGGUACAUGUAAAUGUUUUAUGUUUUUUCUUCCCAGGUUCAAGUCAAAAUAUCCAGAUUCUAGCAAGAUCAGGCAUGUUGGAUGCCAUUAUUACAAGUUUGAUUAUUUUUGUUAAAUAAUCAUCUCAAUCUAAUAGCUUAAGCUUUUAGGUGAGGUCUCAGGAUAUGAUUUAUAUUAUUCUCUAACACACCCCCUCAAGUGAAAACCCUUUGGACUUGAAACUAGCACAUGCUCACUUUACCUUAUGCUUAAUUUUUAUCAAAUAAAUAGGGAUGAUGAGAUUCGAACUCGUGAUCACUUGGUCAUCAAGGCUCUGAUACCAUGUUAAAUAAUCAUCUCAACUCAAUAGCUUAAGUUUUUAGGUGAAUUUCAGGAUAUGAUUUAUAUUAUUUUCUAACAAUUUCUAUCGCAAUAAAUUUUGUGCUGGAUUGUGCGUUCUCAAUGGUCCAGAUGUGCUGUAAUUUACUAAAAUUUAUAGACAAUGCAGCAGAUAGCAAGGGUGUUUUCAUAUAAAACAAAAAAAAAACUCCAUGCCUGUUUAAGGAUAUCCCAUGGAUUAAUUGUUUACUCUACUCGGUGUCACAAAAUAUAUAGUAUAUAUGAAAUGUAAUUUAUAGGGUAUUUUCAUAAAAAGAAAUAAAAUACUCCAAAUUUGUUUACAGGUUGCUAUCCAGGAUAUCCCAUGAAUUAAUUAUUAACUCUACUCAGUAUCAUAGAAUAUACAGUAUAUUAUCUUUUUCAGUAUAUCGUGGGAAGAUGAUGAUACUCCACGAAGGGACUUGUUCCUCGCCAAUAUCAUAUAUAUAUAUAUAUAUAACUGAAAGUCAUGGUAAAUUAAUUUUCUAUGCACCUGGAUAUACUAUUAUUUAAUAUAAUUACCAUUUUAUUUUUUUAAUAAAAAAUUAAUGAACUUCUUAUUAGAGGUAAAUUAUUUUUUCUUCAUAGUUCAUUUGUCAUCAUGGGCAAGGAUAAAUUGAUCUUUUUCUAAUUUAAAUAUACAGUAUAAAUAUUCUAUUACUCUUAAAAACCAUUUUUCACUGGAGAUUGAUAAGAGAUAAUUUAGUUUGUUUAUAUUUAAAAAACAUGGCGUAAAAAUUACAUUACUCUUAAAAGUAAAAUAUUUCAAACCGGCAUUAAAGUUCUUUUUUGUAUUUUUAAAUUGAUUUUUAAGUAAUUAUCAAGUAACUAGGGAAUGAUUUUACCUUUUGAUAAAUAUAAAUAUUAUUUAAAAAUAAAAAUGGUUGAUUUGUACCUUUCAAGCAGAGCAUGAUGUAUUGUCCCACCUUUAAACACUGUCUUUCAUGGCGGCAUGAAAGUGUCCUACCAUGAUCUUUUCGGUGUUGUGGUGUGUGUACACGGCGGCAUGGUGGUUGAGUUAUGUUGAAAUUUUUUCUUCUCCUUCCUCUUUUUUUCCUCUUUUCUCAUUGUCAAAAUAUAAAGAUGUCAUAUUUAUUUAUUGUAUGUAAUUUGAUCUUUAUUAUUUUAAUUGUAAUUUUUUUUUAGUUUUUUCUUCAAUUUCAUCUCUUAUCAUUUGAUAUCAUUUAAUUUUUAUAUUAAAUUGGGUCCUUGUUCUUUUUAUUGUUUUUUUUACCUUUUUUUUCCAAUUGAAUCUUGUUUUCAAUUUCAUCCCUCGGCUUUUGAAUUCAGAUUAUUUUUAUAUCAAAUUUAGUCUCCAAUAUUUUAAUUUUUAUUUCUUUUGUUUUGAAUCCUUUUUUAUUGCUUUUUUUUUAAUUUCACCCGUCAUCAUUUUAUUGAUUUGGAAUUUCGCUUUGUUAUUUAUUAGGGUCUGUCUUCUAUGAGGUUAGUCUCAGAUACAUGACUAGGGUCACAUGUUUUAAAGAUUAACACGGGUUAACUUUGGUCUUUUAUGAGUGUUAUUUAAAAUUAUUAUUUUUUAAUUUUAUCAUUUGACAUUUGAUUUAUUUACAAAUGGUUUUUAUGCUUUUUUUUUAAUUUUCUUUAUAUAAAGUUAUCUUAAUUAUGUGUUCAUAGUUACAAAGUUAACAAGUUAACAUAGGCUGACUUAAAUAAUUUUUUUCAUUUUAAUUAAAAAUAUUUAAGUUUGCUCUUCCACAUUAGAUUGUAUGAUAAUCGAGUUUUAUAAUUUUAUUUAGUUUGUUUUCAACAAUGUUAUCUCAAUAUCACAAUUAAGUUACAAAUUUGGCAUGUCAAUCCAAUAUUUUUAGUGUUUAUUUUUUUUGUAUAAUUAACCUAUAAAAUUUACUAAAUACUGUUAAGUCAAUAAAUCUUUUAUUUUAAAAAAUUACUUGUGUCACUGUCACCUUGAUUUUUUUUUUCAUUGAAAAAAAAUGAGUCAACAAUGUAGUGAAAUUCUAAAACUUCAACUUCUUCGAAACUCGGCACUAAAUCAAAUUAAGGGUCAACACUUAAAGUGGAUCCAUCACCCUAAAAAAUUAAAAUUAUCGAGAUAAAUAAAUAUCGGAGCGAAGAAUGAAUAAGAAGAUAUCGCCAACGUUCAAAAUCACACACACACACACACGACAAGUCUACUUGUGAAUAAGAAUUAAAUGCUCGGGUGUUAAACAUGCAAUAUAAAUCUAAUCGAGAGAGAACAAGGACAUAAUGACUUUCUAAUCUUGUCUGGUCUUUCUUGGUGGACGAUAGUUUUCCUCGGGGUUGGUGACUUUGAAGUUGGGUUUGGAUGCCACGUCCAAUCACUCACCAAACUACUAAUUUUUAUUUUUCUUCUUACAUUCUUCCGUUUCUUAAAAAGAAGAAAAAAAAAAACAUGAAACAAACGAAAAGAAUCAGGUUCCGAAUUAAUUUUGAAGUAUAAGGACUAAUUAGUUAUUUUUUAAAAUUAGAGAUAAUAUUCAAUUUAUUAUGAAAAAUUAAAAAUAGUAAUUGUAAUCGAAUCCCAAAUAAUGAUUUUUUUCUUAAAAUCAAAAUCUAAAUAACAACAUGAAAAAGCGAAUUCAUUUACAAUUUACGAUCUAAACCACUGCCUAGAGGAAGGUGCACGUACACGAACCGUGAAAUCUCAACAUAAAGAGACAUAGAAGAAGUAGCCUCAAGGUAGGCCUAUCCAAGCAUCAUUUUUUGGGCCUGGCUCAGCUAAGGUAGGCCCAAUUUAUGAAGGCCCACCCAUUGCCACCGUUCCAGAAACAACGACAUAACAACUAGUUGCCGACUUGCCUUGCCGAGCCCUUCGUUAAUCUUUGAGACCGACAUCUUACGUGUCUUUUCGCAAAUAACAGCAACUAACUUACACAACUGUUUAUUCUAUUUCUAGCUGUUUCUGAACUCUGAUUACAUUUCCAAGACCACCACCUCCUUUGUCUUCCGAAAACACCAUCAUCAUUUUCAACUCCUCCAAAUUGUCUCAUCACCAACACAACAAAUCCAUGGGAAAGGUCAAGUCUUUUAAGCAGGAAUCCACAUUUGGUUAGUUUCUUUUUCCUUUUUUUUUUGUUUCUCAAAGUUCAUAUAUAUCUUGUUGGUUUCGUAUUGGUUGAUAUUGACCCGAGCUUGUCUGUGGUGAAUAGAUGAUAGACUUGGAGAAUCAAAGAAUAUCAUUUUCAAAUACCCAGAUCGAGUUCCUGUAAGUCUCCCCUCUCUUUCUAUUAUUGUUUUGUAUUCCUUUGAUUUCGAGCUGUCAUUUUGAUUGGUUUAUGUAAUUGUUUCUUUGGUUUUCUUGCUGAAAGUUCAAUUUUAUUUUUGAGAAUUUAGUGGUAUAUCUGCUUCUUCUUUUUUUCUCUAUCUGGGUAGUUUCAGGGGUCCUGUCUUAUUUGACAAAUAGAAUGUGUAGCCCAAGACCUGAUCUAGGAGGGGCGGGUUUAGUCUUGGUGAAUGAAAGUUAACCCCACCAAAGAAAGAAAAGAUAAUACAAUUGGAAUAUGAAAACAAACCUGAAAAUUCCAAUAUAGUUGGAAAUUCCUCAUUUUGAUCUGGAUGUGCAAGUUUUUCUGCUUAUAUUGAUGUUUCCUGUGGAAAAAUAUGUUUUCUUGAUUGCAACUCGUUAUUUCAAGUGUUAAUGAUGGAUUUUUCAUAGCUAAGCUGGCUGUUCUCUUAAGGGAAUCAAAAGCAUCCUUUAUGUUUUUGGUGCAGCACAUUUGUUGAAGGAAUGUAAUCAUUGCUAUUGAAUAUUGUUGGUUUUAAUUGUCUAGUGCAAAAGAAGUAUUUUUUAAAUUCUGGUUAGAAUGAUGUACCUUAUGCAAGUUACCUAACCUUGCAAACUAAGCCAAAGCAUGAUUGUUGGGCAAGCUAGGCAAAAUCUGACUUCACCAAUGUAAUUUAAAUAGAAAUAUCAAUCUUAGAGUCUUCUUAUUUCUUUUUCUUUUUUUAAAAAAAACAUCGGAGCUCAUCAGUAUUUUCUCUGAUUUUUAGGUGAUUAUUGAAAGAUAUUCAAGGACGGACCUGCCAGAAAUGGAAAAGAGAAAGUAUGUCUAUCUCUUCUCUUUGCAUUAUACAAAGUUUCAGUUGUUAAAUCUGCAAAUAAAUAAAAGAAAAAACUAUCACUGCCAUGUUAAUCUUACAUAUAUCCAUGUUCUGAUUUCCAGUCCCGGUGACACUCUUUGAGCUAUAGAUUCCUUAAGUUCGUAACCAGAUUUUUAGCCAGUAUAUUGUUGUAAGAUUCCAAUCCUUAUUUUUCUCGUUUUUUCAGAUACUUGGUUCCCCGAGACAUGACUAUCGGGCAAUUCAUCCACAUUUUAAGUAGUAGACUAGAGUUAACUCCUGGAAAGGCUCUGUUCAUUUUUGUGAAGAACACGUUGCCUCAAACAGGUAAAAUUGAACAUUUGAUUGAUCUCGACAUUGUAGCUUAUACACAGCCUUCUUAGGAACCUGCUAACUUGUGCUAUUUAUUUACAGCAAGUCAAAUGGAUUCAAUCUAUGAAUCUUACAAGGGCGAUGACGGAUUUCUGUACAUGUGCUACAGCAGCGAAAAAACCUUUGGCUAAGCUGUAUCAUCCUUUCUCUUGAAUACUUCAUUUCUGUCUUUGUAAGUAUCAAAUAAUUCUCUGUGGACAUGCCUGUAUGGCUCAAAGCCAAACCCAUGUAAAUAAGUGUUCAUACGAUUCCUUCUGUAAAUUAUGACGUACUGUAAAGUAUAUCAAACUAAUGCAGGAGUGUUAUAUGAUUCCUUGUGUAAAUUAUAUGACGUUCUGUAAAGUAUACCAAACCUUCUUUUAGACUUCUGUGGCCGAAUGGAUGGACCGUGGCUAUUCCUGUGACCAAUGCAACCUUCUACUUUACGAUUCGUAUGGAAACUGCAUGAACAUAAACAUCACCAUGUCCUCAACUUUCGCUUGUGGAAAGAUUAAUGGAUAAUGUUUUUUUAAAUCCAAACAUGGUUUGGUAAACAAGAGAAUUGCAGUUAACACACGCUGAUAUCACCAAGAAUAAGCGUGUCGUAUUAGAAACAGCAAUGUACAACAUCAAAGUAUCGUUUGGUAAUGAAAUCAAGGUUUAAAACUCUGAAAAAGGGAACAUCUGCUGGCUGCAAACAUCAUCGUUUCCUUGGCUCUGGGACAAUGCCACCCCUUCAUUUUGACCGAAUAAUUUUGAUUAUGAUUCAACAAUUUCAUCUCUGCCAUAGCUACCAGAACAUCACCAAACUGAUGCCAAUUGUGUACACUCAUGACAGUCCAGUGGAAGGUCUUUGAUUCUGCAUGAAAGUCUUUGCUAGACUUGUGGUGCUUAACUGCAAUCUCAUUGCCGAACCGUAUUGCUUUCUACAGAUGCCUUUCUGAUCUGCAUCAACUGCAAAUUUCUCUUUGAUUGCCCUUCCCGGAACACAAAAAAUUCUUUCGUCUUUUUCUCAUCUGAACAAUUUCUCAUUGAACUGACAUUGUAGGUUGCAAGAAGUUCUUUCUGCUUCGUUGAAUCAGGACAGAGUCUAGCCAGAUCAGGAACAAGAUGACACAAACCAAAUUGCUGCCCACAGGCGCCCAUUGGACCCAGGCAGAAUUCUCUAGAUAUGCACUUGAAAGUAUUAUAUCUGUCACCGUCAAAUUCUAGAGCAGGCUCCACCGAAGACUGGUUUUCCGUUUGAAUCCCUUCCAUUGUUUGCCAACGAUGGGCUGCUUGAGGGAAACUUGCGCUUCAGCAAUGCAGCCAUAGGGGGGUAAGAGGAAUUGUCAACUGUUCCGGCAACAUUUGGAACUGACGAUGAACCAGUUGUAGAGGAUGAAGAAACGUUAGGCCCAGAAAGUUUCGUAUGCACUAAACUUGCAUUACUAGAUAGCACAGGCUUUUUGCUUACUGCUGGCCCGCUCAGGGCAGUAUUUAGACACGCUCCACGGUUAUGUGAAGAACGACACCAAGCAUAGCUUGGAGAAUUAGAGCACGUUUGGGAACGCGGCCGCGGCUGUGUUCCCAAAAAAUUUAAUUUUUUUUUUAUAUAUUAAAAUUUAAUAUGGUUUGUAUGGUUUGGAUCGUUUUGAUGUGCUGAUGUCAAAAAUGAUUUUUAAAAAAUGAAAAAAAUCAUUGGCAUGUAUUUUGGCACGAAAAGUUAUUUGAAAAGCACCCGCAACCACACUGCCAAACAUGCUCUUAGCAGAGAGCCCUGGUCUAUCAAGAACUAAAUUCAGAGCCCGAGAUGAUCUAAGAACCAAUACAUUUCUCCCAAUUCAAGUAUAAGAAUCUUAAUAUAUAAUUCAAUAUCAAAACAUCAAUUCAUAAUUGAAUUUGAAAUAAUUUAUAGGACCAUAUUUAAAACACCUUACCCGGUAAGAAUCAAGGUUUCAAUUUUUAAUCAAUCAAAGAUUUUCGACUCCUCUUUUUUUCUAAUGACAACCAACCCUCCCUUUUCUUUUCUUGUUUAAAUUUUCUUAUUAAUUCCUUGUUCACAAGUGUUUAUUCUACUUAUAAACUCUUAAUCUUGGAUGAGUUCUUGAAAUUUUGAUAUUUCUCUCUUGAUUUGGCAAGAACAAAUUCAAAAACUCUUUUUUUUUUUUCUUAUGGUUGCUGCUGAUUUUUGGUGAGGAGUAUUUAUACUCUAUAAUUUCUCUUAUUUGCACUUAGGCUCCAUUUUCUUUAAGUGUAUUAUUUUUGUUCCUACAUCUUUUUCUUUUUAUAAUUAAACUAUACCUCUUUUUAUUUCUUAUAAUUCCAUUCAAUGUUAUUAAAAUCGCGUUUUGACUCGUAAAAUCGUACGACUGUAUUUUUAAAUACACUCUAAGUAAUGUUAAUUUUGAGUUUUUUUGGUAUGAAAAUUUUGUUUGGAAUUUAUAAAUACAAAAUAUUGAUGGGUUUUUUUGUGAAAAAAAUUGGGUGAUUAUCCCAAAAAAAAAAUAGUGAUAAACCUUUAUGUAUACCUACCUUUUUUUUUACCAAAGUAUGCUACGAAUAGUACUGUUAACGAACUAUGGUGCACAACAGCAGAAGUGUUUAAAAUCACCCUUGCCAUUAAUAAAGUCGAUGAAAUUCUUGACAUGAUUUUCAUUACAUUUCUUAUUGAAAAUAAAAAAAAUAAAAUUAUAACUAAAAUGGAGAACUAAUUCCAAGUACAUUGACCUCUGCUUCAAUUAUGCAAAUGUCCUUAAUAACAUAGGCAUUGUUUGGCUGAUAAAUAUAAUCCAGGGAAACAUAUCUUGUCCAUCCACUUUCUGAUCUUGAGGCACCAAACCAGUGUUUAGCUGCAAGAAGAAGAAACAAUCUCAACUCUUUUUUUUCAUUGACAGAAAAAGGGGGAAAAAAAUCCAAGAAUCUCCUCUGAUGCAUAAUCUUCCAGGCAAACAUGUGGGGUUGUCAUGUUAAACCGGCAAAAAGAUCAUUUGUGUUCUUACCUUUAGCAGAAAGGUCUAACUUCCUAUCCUUGACUUGAUUUACAAUGCGCAGGGUGUAAUCCGCACAGAGUCUGCAACCAGCAGGGAGGGUUUCCAAAUCCACAGCCAAGUACAAAGAAAGAUGGGUGCCCAUUCCAAAAUCUUUUCCCUUAGGAUAGAGCAGUAUCUUCCUGAAACAACCAGUACAGGUAAAAUUUAAAAGCUAACUGACUAAACACUAAUAGAAGAAAAGAAUAUAUGAGAAGGUAAAUUUUUUAUAAUCGUGUAAAUAAAUUUUCAUCCCGAAAGGAAUAACCAGCAGGUUUGCUUAUACAAUGGUAAAUUUCGUUCUGACCACCAACGAAUUGUUAAUGUAAGAGAAACAUUGGCCUCAUAAAGCAUAUCCAAAACACGUUUUAAUCAAGAUUACAGACUAAAAUUAUAAAAUAAAUAUACCAUUUUUCACUUGCCGAGCUGAAUGUUUGUGAUUCUUGACGUUUUUCAUCCAACUUCAAAAAGUUUUCGAUCUUCCAAGUGUGCUUGAAAGCAGCAGUAGGUUGCUUUAUCAUUGAUAAAACCUCUCCUUUGCCUCUGCUUCUUUCUCUACGGACAAAUACUUCUGCUCCAAGCACACAAGUGUCUUCCAGAAGGAAUCCGUAACGAGAAUCAUUAAAUGUUGAAAGCUGAAUGAAUUGAUCAAAACCCCAUUCAAGCUUCAAUCCAUGAAAACGUCUUUCCUGUCCUGCUGCAUCUAUCCUUGGCAACAAGGCCGAAACAUUAGAGAGGGGCAUCACUUUCUCUCGAGUUAGACUAAAUUACUCAAGUAGUGAUGGAAGAAAACCAUUGCAAGUAAAUCGUGCCGGUAUCCUUGGCAACAAGGCCGAAACAUUAGAGGGGGCCAUCACUUUCUCUCGAGUUGAACUAAAUUACUCAAGUGAUGGAAGAAAACUAUUGCAUGUAAAUAUUUCUUGCACCCAACUUUGGUGAUGCUAUAAACAUUAAAAAAAAAACUGCAACUAAUGAUAAUAGCUUGAGGGUCUAGUGCAAAGUAAUGACUUAGAAAACAUGCCUUGAAUUACCAAGUAGCUGUCCUUGUUUUGGUCAAGCAAAAACAACCGGAAAAUCACAUGGACCUCCCAACCAAGUGGAAGAGAA